rnacentral:rRNA from 1 species
GAUGAACGCUGGCGGCGUGCUUAACACAUGCAAGUCGAGCGGAGAUACAAUAACGGAGAGCUUCGGCAGGAAGAUGUUGUAUUUUAGCGGCGGACGGGUGAGUAACGUGUGGGUAACCUGCCAUAUACUGGGGAAUAAUCAUUGGAAACGAUGACUAAUACCGCAUGUGGUCAUGAAGCGGCAUCGCUUUAUGAAGAAAGGGCUUCGGCUCGGUAUAUGAUGGACCCGCAUCUGAUUAGCUAGUUGGUGAGAUAACAGCUCACCAAGGCGACGAUCAGUAGCCGACCUGAGAGGGUGAUCGGCCACAUUGGGACUGAGACACGGCCCAAACUCCUACGGGAGGCAGCAGUGGGGAAUAUUGCACAAUGGGGGAAACCCUGAUGCAGCAACGCCGCGUGAAGGAAGAAGGUUUUCGGAUCGUAAACUUCUAUCAAUAGGGAAGAAAGAAAUGACGGUACCUAAAUAAGAAGCCCCGGCUAACUACGUGCCAGCAGCCGCAGUAACAC